CACACACACACAGCACUGAAAAGCUGGGGAGAAAGGGCCAGUGCAUCCAGUGCCUUCAACUCUGUCAGGAAGAGAAGAAUGUAAAGCCCCACCACUGGCAACUUUUUCAGUUCUCCACUCUUUGGUUCGUCACCAUCACUGAUCUGAGGUGUAUACUUGAACUAAGAAAAAGACUACAAAGGCUUCACACCAAAAUGUUGACAAGAGCUUUCUUUGGGAAGUAGGAUCACAGGUACAUUCUUCUUUUUUUCUGUCUGACCCAAGGCUGCCAGGGAAGAAGUGAGUCAGAAGGCUCUGCCUCAAUGUGCCUUCCAAGAGGUUACCUACCCUCUGUACCUCAGUAAGGCCAUGUGCAUCAGUGAAGUGGCACCAUUGGAACAUCGGUGCAGCGGUUUUGCAUCAGGCCAACUUAACUAAUUCCUUCCUAGAAUUACCUUCUGUAUGUAGUUCCUCAGGAUUGCCUACAACAGAUAUUUGUGGAGCAUUCGGAAGGUAGAAGUGAAACGGCAGCUUUCAUGUUGUGAAGGUCAGUGUGUGGCUACGGGGGCUGCUUCAAACUUGUCAACACAUUGUGACCCAUCCUGGGACUUUCCCUGUUGGUGUGGGCCCACAGCCUUCCCCAGCUCCUGCCACAUCUUCCCCUUCAGCUACUUUGAGUCUGGAGCAAAGCUUAUGUCCCAUUCUGUGGUAAAGGGUACCAGCUUUUGGUUUCAAAGUCAAGGUUGAAAGUGGCAAGAGAAAAAUAAAAGUUCCUUUGGGGGUUUCACUUUCGCCUCACUCUCUCCCACCUCACAUCUGGCUUUUCUUCCAGACUUCUGGCCCUGCUGAUCUAUAGCUACUUCAGACCCAUCACUGG